AGCAUUGCUGACUGAUGACUCUUGCCCCAGCUCUCACUGUGGAAUUUCUCUCAGCUGAGAAGAGCUGCCCAGUUCAAGUUCAUAACUAUUUCACUAGGUCCAGCUCUUAUGAAGAGGUAUAACCACUUCAUCUCAAGAAGGGACAACUCUUGAAGGGCUGUCUCAACUCCACUUUUACCUGAGUAUUGCUGCAACUUCAUGGUAACUGCACUCCUCUCUCUAUACAGCCUGACUACCUUCACCUGCAUCUGAACCCUAAAAUUAGUCAUGCUCCUGCUUUGGCCUCCCCAGCUCUGGGAUUACAGACAUGAACCAUGACACCCAGAUCAGGUUUUACUUUUGACAGCCAUUUUCUUUGUGGCAUUUAGUGUUUGUCCCUGGUCUUCUAUCUGCCGACGGGUUCUCUACAAUGAAGGUUUACAGAAAAAUGUAGAAGCAGUCUUCAAGUGGCUGUUCCUUGAUCAACUUUGAAUAAAGCCAGAUAAAAAACA